rnacentral:rRNA from 1 species
UACGUAGGGUGCGAGCGUUGUCCGGAAUCACUGGGCGUAAAGCGCACGUAGGCGGCUUUCUAAGUCAGGGGUGAAAUCCUGGAGCUCAACUCCAGAACUGCCUUUGAUACUGGAGAGCUCGAGUCCGGAAGAGGUGAGUGGAACUCCGAGUGUAGAGGUGAAAUUCGUAGAUAUUCGGAAGAACACCAGUGGCGAAGGCGGCUCACUGGUCCGGUACUGACGCUGAGGUGCGAAAGCGUGGGGAGCAAACGGG